rnacentral:rRNA from 1 species
GGAGCCGUAGCGAAAGCGAGUUUUAACUGAGCGUUCAGUUACUUGACGUAGACCCGAAACCGGGCGACCUACCCAUGAGCAGGAUGAAGCGAAAGUAAAAUUUCGUGGAGGUCCGAACCCACGAGCGUUUAAAAGCUCGGGGAUGACUUGUGGGUAGCGGUGAAAUUCCAAUCGAGCCCGGAGAUAGCUGGUUCUCCCCGAAAUAGCUUUAGGGCUAGCCUCAAGGUGAGAGAUACGGAGGUAGAGCACUGAAUGUCCUAGGGGGUAUUGCACCUACCGAAGACUAUCAAAUCGAAUGCCGUCAUCUU